GUUCCACUGAAUGCUGUAUUAUGGAAACAGACUCCACAGGGAGCAGAGACCCCAUCGAUCAGCUUUCCUGUUAAUCACAUGCUUUGUUGGUAAAAUAAACCCCCAAAUCUCACAAUGCUCCACUUGCUUUCUUCUUCUACCUGGCCUGUACAAGUCCUUCUUGUUCUCACAGAAGAAUGCUGUUGUCCCAUCAGAUUAAGCAGAAGAGAAACGGCAUAGUAGCGUGAGCCACAGUCCUGUCCCAUCCCGUCCCUCUCUGGCAGUCGGCAGACAAGAUUAUGUAAUGCUGGUCCCUCAAACCAUGUGGCAAUUGCCAAACACAUGGCAUAUGGUCUAUCAAAAGCCUGAUUUUAAUAUUUCCUGUUUAGAUGCACUCGGUCUAAACUUCUCAAGAUGUUGAUGCAAUGAAAAAGUGGCUUUCGAACAUUGAUUUUGGUUGAAUCGGCUGCCAUAUGGUUUAAUGCGGUUUUCUUCUGGACCGAGGCCAUUCGGGAAAACAUUGGCAUCACUUUUAUCUCACUUUCUCUUUCUUCUUUAAUAACAGCCAACACAUACCAGCAGAUUAGAGGCCCUCAUAGUCCUCCCAACCCCCGGCACGUAACAAUGGUGUUAGCUGGGGCCAUACAGCUGGUCCGGUCCUGGGUGGAUCUCACACAGAGCCUCGAUCUGAGCAAGAUGCUUCCUGUUACUGGAAUUAUACUGUAAACACUUGUUGUUUGUGCCUGGAAAGGAUAAAUCUGAUGGUUGAUCAAAUCAACAUUUGGACGGUUACCACUCAUUUACAUAACAUGGUAGAAAUUGGAGCAACCGGGCCUUGUUUAAACGGAUUAGACAGGAUUGAAUAACAUUUUUAAAUGACAUAUUUUAGUUCGACCUGUGUGUUGGAAGUACUCUGCUAGUUGCUUUGGAGUUUUCUGUUUGGUUUUGACUGCCUGCCCAGGCCCAUGCUGUGAAAGCCAAUGUGCAUUCCAGUUGAGAACAUUCUGCUUCGUAUCCUCCUCCGUGUCUUAAAUCACUCUCCUGUCUUAGCGUUCGGAAUUAUUUGCUUCUAUUUUUCAUUCCAGCUCAUCCACGUCAAUGGGCCUCAAAGUCAUCCUAGCUUCUCUUUUAGAGAAAACUGAGAACGGCCCUCACCUUUUAACCUGAAGAAUUGCUCCUGUAACCACAGAGAAUGCGAUCUUAGGUUGAAAAUACAUGCCGGUCUGGAAAAGACUCUUGUAAUUCAUAGACUUUCAUUUGACUCCUAACCCUAAGGUUGUGGGUUUGAGUCUUAGGCCGGCAAUACAAUAAUAGCUUGCAAUUCAUUGACAGUGCUGCAAAAGUCAUAACUUAAAAGGAAACGAGAGACAGUCCAGUAAACUUUGAUAUAUAGCAUCUCCGUUAAAUCUUGUGUUCAACAUCUGUUAGAAGACCAGCUGGUACCCAGGAAAAAAAUACCAAGCAGGGGUUUUGUUUAAAUUAGCCUCUGUUCUCUUUACAUGAGCCCAGCUGGAUUUGAUAGCCCCUUUUACCUCUCU
ensembl:lncRNA